rnacentral:rRNA from 1 species
GGGGGCAAGCGUUGUUCGGAAUUACUGGGCGUAAAGGGCUCGUAGGCGGCCAACUAAGUCGGAUGUGAAAUCCCCAGGCUCAACUUGGGAACUGCAUCCGAUACUGGAUGGCUUGAAUUCGGGAGAGGGAUGCAGAAUUCCAGGUGUAGCGGUGAAAUGCGUAGAUAUCUGGAGGAAUACCGGUGGCGAAGGCGGCAUCCUGGACCGACAUUGACGCUGAGGAGCGAAAGCUAGGGGAGCAAACGGG